GACGGCUUAACCGUCAGGCGGGCAGUGGAUACUGACCGGCUUGGGAGCGGGGGAGGUCGGGAGUACUGGCGGGGUAACGGUAAAAUGUUGUAAUCCUGCCAGGACUACCAGUGGCGAAGGCGCCCGACCAAAACGCGUCCGACCGUGAGGGACGAAGGCUAGGAGAACGAAUCGGAUUAGAUACCCGAGUAGCCCUAGCAGUAAAUUAUGCGGACUGUGGUGUUGCAACGACUUCGAGUCGUUGCAGUGCUGUAGCGUAGGUGUUAAGUCCGCCACCUGGGGAGUACGGCCGCAAGGUUGAAACUUAAAGGAAUUGGCGGGGGAGCACCACAAGGCGUGGAUGCUGCGGUUCAAUUGGAUUCAACGCCGG
rnacentral:rRNA from 1 species